AUUAGAAACUCUAAGAACAAAUCAGGUUUUCACAUAGAGUGCAGGACUUAGAAUAGAUCUAAGAAGACUUUUCAAAGAGUGGCAGUCAUUAAAUAUUAUAAUUGAUUUCCAAAUGAAGUUGUCAAAUCCUUUUCACAUGUCUUUGAAAAUAAGAUAGGGGUUUCAUCUGUUCAGGAUGCUUUAAUUGUCUCUACAUUAUGCCAAAACAUCUGCUAGUUUCAGUCAAUAGUAAAAACUCCGCACUGUCAAUUCAAAGAAUAAAAUCAGAUCAAUCAUUUUUUUGGCAUCAUGUAGCUCAAACAAACCUGCUGACUGACAUUUUUAUUUCUCUUCAAAUUAUUCUAGCUUAAUGUAAACUCAAAACUCUUAUAGUUCUAAGAGGGCUACAUUAACUAAGUAAAUUUUCUAAUGCUUUUCAACUAUACAUGCAUAAAAUUGUUUGUGUUCAUAAUUUAUGAAUAUAAAGUACUUGUAACCCUUAUAUAAUUUGAGUGAGGCAUGCUUUAAGUAUGCUUGGAAAAAGUUGAAAUGAGAAAAUGACAAUGUUGAUAUUUAAAUUAAAAUGUUAUUGCUAGAACUCAAGAAGUUGCAAUAAAAUUCAAAGGUAAGUAUAUUUUACAUAGUUUCCUAUAUACUCAUUAUAAAUAGCUAUAUGUAGGGGGAAAAAACGUUGGAAAGAAUAGCCGUAACACUAAUAUUAAGGAUAAUGAGGAAGAAAUUGCUUUUUUAAAAUUUCUAGCUAAAAUAACAGCUUGGCUGAUGCUUGAUGAAUACCUAUUGGAUAGAAUAAUUGGCUGGUUGCUUUAUAUGUUGAGACACUGAUCUGAGAUGUGGUAAAUAGUGGUAUAAUUCAUCUGUCAAUUCAGUAUGCUAAAAACAAUUCCUUUUUUUUUAGUUUUUAGAGAUAUUGUGCUAUUUUUCCU
rnacentral:lncRNA from 1 species